UACGUAGGGUGCAAGCGUUGUCCGGAAUUAUUGGGCGUAAAGAGCUCGUAGGCGGUCUGUCGCGUCUGCUGUGAAAACCUAAGGCUCAACCUUGGGCUUGCAGUGGGUACGGGCAGACUAGAGUGCGGUAGGGGUGACUGGAAUUCCUGGUGUAGCGGUGGAAUGCGCAGAUAUCAGGAGGAACACCGAUGGCGAAGGCAGGUCACUGGGCCGCAACUGACGCUGAGGAGCGAAAGCAUGGGGGAGCGAACAGGG
rnacentral:rRNA from 1 species